UACGGAGGGAGCUAGCGUUGUUCGGAAUUACUGGGCGUAAAGCGCGCGUAGGCGGCUUUGUAAGUUAGAGGUGAAAGCCUGGAGCUCAACUUCAGAAUUGCCUUUAAGACUGCAUCGCUUGAAUCCGGGAGAGGUGAGUGGAAUUCCGAGUGUAGAGGUGAAAUUCGUAGAUAUUCGGAAGAACACCAGUGGCGAAGGCAGCACUCUGGGACGGUACUGACGCUGAGACGCGAAAGCGUGGGGAGCGAACAGG
rnacentral:rRNA from 1 species